GUUAUCAGCAUUCCAUAGGCUGGAGUAUGCCCUCAUACCUUGUUUGUUUGGAUAAGCAAUGCCCUCACUCUCGUAAUUACGGAACACACGGAUCGGCACACUGUCAACAUACCACCUGAAAUUGCAGUAAUGAAUCCUGAGGGCCCUGUAUGUUGGUGAAAUCACUGCACUUACAUAGUAGGCAGUGACGGUUCCAGCUGAGUUCCCAGGUACCAACUUGAUUAACAUCUGAAUGCUUCCAAACAGGAAUAACCGCUUUGAUUGAAUACCUGACCCUGAAACCCAAAAUUAAUACCUGAUGUUUGAUCCAAUACAAGUUGAAGCUCAUCUCCGUUGCCCAGAACUGCAGAAUGCUGAGCUCCCCAGUAGAAAUGCAUGCUUUUGAUGAAGUUGGCAUCAACUGGCCUAAGAUCAAAUGCUGUUAGAAAGACGAAUAGAACUACCAACAAAGUUCUUGAACUCCCCAUUUGAGAAAUUUUCAUCUUUGCUUCUAUGGUUCUACCAAAACUCUGGAGUUGAAAUGCAAUACUGGGUCCACAAAGUCCUGUGAUUGCUUGAUAUAUACAGCUUGCAGCCAGCAAAUAAGCCUUGCAAAGAUGAGCUCUGGUUCAAAAAAAAUUAGUUUAAAAAAUAUUUGACCAUUUCAAGAUAUUUGACAUUCAUAUUGGAAAAUAUAUUAUAAGAACAAAAGUUAUGCUCUCCAUGAAGAUGAUGUCCACAAAUUAACAAGUGUGGAAAGUACAAUAGGUUGAAGAGUUAGUGAAGUGAAUAUAUAUAUAUAUAUAUGUUCAUGUAGAAUGUUGGGAAUGUCAGAGUAAAAGGACUCGAGGAGGAUGCAGGUUUUUGUGAUGGGUUCAGCCCAGCUGGGACGUGGUUGGAGUAGGAGAAGGGCAAAGGUCGUGCUUAAGACUAAUGACGCAAAGGGGGGAGAGACCUUGGGCCAGCUGUGAGUUGUGAGAUGGACGUGGACGCCUAUGAGGAUUGAAUGGCCAGAAAGGGUGUGCAGUUUCAAUUUUAAUUUGAAUUUAUUUAAAAAUUAAAAUCACACUAAUAUAUUAAAAUAAAUUCAAUUUAAUAUAAUUUUUAUUGAUUGGAUACA